rnacentral:sRNA from 2 species
UGACCACUUUUUCUUUUGGAAAAAGUUAAGGCAUCGGUUCGCCGGGUCAAAUGCCGA